rnacentral:piRNA from 1 species
CCUUCUCAAACUCCACGGACUACUGUUC